rnacentral:lncRNA from 13 species
CAGUUUGGGGGCCCUCCUCAGCCUUUUUAAGUUUCUUUUUAAUGUUAGUUGCAGACUGAGAGAUGAAAUGUGUCGUUAGAACUGUAGCUCACAGUAAAGAGGCCAUGUCCAGCCAUGUAUGAAGGAUCAUAGCAUUAGUUAAUCGGUCGAGGAAGGCAGUGGGGUUUUCAGUAGGACCCUGAGUUAUUUCCCUUAACUUACCAUAAUUAACUACCUUUUGGGCUGAGCUUUGCAUGUCCGCUAGGAGGCACUAUAGCAUUUGGUCUCGGUGGUGGUGGCCAUCUUGACCAGUUUGAUAAUUCCAAUUAGGGUCAGCCUCAGGGACUGCCACUGCACCUACUGGUAUCUGAUUGUCUGUGAGAUGUACCUGAUAAGCAUGAGCCUGAGCCACCAUAAGGAUGUGGUCACGCUCAUCUGGAGGGAGGGUGGAGGACAGAAUUACAUUGGUAUCAUGUCAGGUGAGGUCAUAAGCCUGGGUGAGGUAGCGGAAUUCUUUGGUGUAAGCAGUAGGAUUGGUGGAAAAUAACCCUAGGCAUUUCUCAAUAGUGGAUAGAUCAGAGAGGGACAAAGGAACAUGUACUUAGACAACGCUUUCCACUCCGGUGACCUUGCACAGGGGGCAAAGAAGGGAGGUUUCAUCAUUAGGAGCACAGUGCAACCGUGCAAGACAUGCCUCCUUCUUCUUCACCUUUCACCAUAAGUUUCCUGAGGCCUCCCCAGCUUCCUGUACACACUGCAGAACCGAUUCACAGUUGUUUUAAUCCACAAAUACCAAAGACAUGGAUAUGGACAGCCAACUAUGGGGCAUGA